rnacentral:rRNA from 1 species
CCUACGGGAGGCUGCAGUGGGGAAUAUUGGGCAAUGGACGCAAGUCUGACCCAGCAACGCCGCGUGAAGGAAGAAGGCUUUCGGGUUGUAAACUUCUUUUGAGGGGGAAGAGCAGAAGACGGUACCUCUUGAAUAAGCCACGGCUAACUACGUGCCAGCAGCCGCGGUAAUACGUAGGUGGCAAGCGUUGUCCGGAUUUACUGGGUGUAAAGGGCGUGUAGCCGGGAAGACAAGUCAGAUGUGAAAUCCCGGGGCUCAACCGCGGAACUGCAUUUGAAACUGUUGGUCUUGAGUAUCGGAGAGGUAGGCGGAAUUCCUAGUGUAGCGGUGAAAUGCGUAGAUAUUAGGAAGAACACCAGUGGCGAAGGCGGAUUGCUGGACGACAACUGACGGUGAGGCGCGAAAGCGUGGGGAGCAAACAGGAUUAGAUACCCGGGUAGUC